AGGCGUGUAGCUCAGUGGUAGAGCGCUACCUUGACAUGGUAGAAGUCCGCAGUUCAAUCCUGCGCACGCCUA
rnacentral:tRNA from 1 species